rnacentral:rRNA from 1 species
GCUAAACGCGAAGAACCUUACCCAGGCUUGACAUCCUGUUAAUCACUCCGAAAGGAGAGAGUGCCUUCGGGCCGCAGUGACAGGUGAUGCAUGGCCGUCGUCAGCUCGUGUCGUGAGAUGUUUGGUUAAGUCCAUCAACGAGCGCAACCCUUAUGAGUAGUUGUAUUUCUCUACUCAGACUGCCUCGGUAACGGGAGGAAGGAGGGGAUGAUGUCAGGUCAUUAUUACCCUUACGUCCUGGGCUAGAAACGCGCUACAAUGGCCGGUACAAAGGGCAGCCAACCCGCGAGGGGAGCAAAUACCCAUCAAAACCGGUACCCACGUUCGGAUUGCAGGCUGAAACUCGCCUCUAUGAAGUCGGAA